rnacentral:rRNA from 4 species
UUAAGCGACUAAGCGUACACGGUGGAUGCCCUGGCAGUCAGAGGCGAUGAAGGACGUGCUAAUCUGCGAUAAGCGUCGGUAAGGUGAUAUGAACCGUUAUAACCGGCGAUUUCCGAAUGGGGAAACCCAGUGUGAUCCGUCACACUAUCAUUAACUGAAUCCAUAGGUUAAUGAGGCGAACCGGGGGAACUGAAACAUCUAAGUACCCCGAGGAAAAGAAAUCAACCGAGAUUCCCCCAGUAGCGGCGAGCGAACGGGGAGGAGCCCAGAGCCUGAAUCAGUAUGUGUGUUAGUGGAAGCGUCUGGAAAGGCGUGCGAUACAGGGUGACAGCCCCGUACACAAAAAUGCACAUGCUGUGAGCUCGAUGAGUAGGGCGGGACACGUGGUAUCCUGUCUGAAUAUGGGGGGACCAUCCUCCAAGGCUAAAUACUCCUGACUGACCGAUAGUGAACCAGUACCGUGAGGGAAAGGCGAAAAGAACCCCGGCGAGGGGAGUGAAAAAGAACCUGAAACCGUGUACGUACAAGCAGUGGGAGCCUCUUUAAUGGGGUGACUGCGUACCUUUUGUAUAAUGGGUCAGCGACUUAUAUUCUGUAGCAAGGUUAACCGAAUAGGGGAGCCGAAGGGAAACCGAGUCUUAACUGGGCGUUAAGUUGCAGGGUAUAGACCCGAAACCCGGUGAUCUAGCCAUGGGCAGGUUGAAGGUUGGGUAACACUAACUGGAGGACCGAACCGACUAAUGUUGAAAAAUUAGCGGAUGACUUGUGGCUGGGGGUGAAAGGCCAAUCAAACCGGGAGAUAGCUGGUUCUCCCCGAAAGCUAUUUAGGUAGCGCCUCGUGAAUUCAUCUCCGGGGGUAGAGCACUGUUUCGGCAAGGGGGUCAUCCCGACUUACCAACCCGAUGCAAACUGCGAAUACCGGAGAAUGUUAUCACGGGAGACACACGGCGGGUGCUAACGUCCGUCGUGAAGAGGGAAACAACCCAGACCGCCAGCUAAGGUCCCAAAGUCAUGGUUAAGUGGGAAACGAUGUGGGAAGGCCCAGACAGCCAGGAUGUUGGCUUAGAAGCAGCCAUCAUUUAAAGAAAGCGUAAUAGCUCACUGGUCGAGUCGGCCUGCGCGGAAGAUGUAACGGGGCUAAACCAUGCACCGAAGCUGCGGCAGCGACACUAUGUGUUGUUGGGUAGGGGAGCGUUCUGUAAGCCGUUGAAGGUGUGCUGUGAGGCAUGCUGGAGGUAUCAGAAGUGCGAAUGCUGACAUAAGUAACGAUAAAGCGGGUGAAAAGCCCGCUCGCCGGAAGACCAAGGGUUCCUGUCCAACGUUAAUCGGGGCAGGGUGAGUCGACCCCUAAGGCGAGGCCGAAAGGCGUAGUCGAUGGGAAACAGGUUAAUAUUCCUGUACUUGGUGUUACUGCGAAGGGGGGACGGAGAAGGCUAUGUUGGCCGGGCGACGGUUGUCCCGGUUUAAGCGUGUAGGCUGAUUUUCCAGGCAAAUCCGGAGAAUCAAGGCUGAGGCGUGAUGACGAGGCACUACGGUGCUGAAGCAACAAAUGCCCUGCUUCCAGGAAAAGCCUCUAAGCAUCAGGUAACAUCAAAUCGUACCCCAAACCGACACAGGUGGUCAGGUAGAGAAUACCAAGGCGCUUGAGAGAACUCGGGUGAAGGAACUAGGCAAAAUGGUGCCGUAACUUCGGGAGAAGGCACGCUGAUAUGUAGGUGAAGCGACUUGCUCGUGGAGCUGAAAUCAGUCGAAGAUACCAGCUGGCUGCAACUGUUUAUUAAAAACACAGCACUGUGCAAACACGAAAGUGGACGUAUACGGUGUGACGCCUGCCCGGUGCCGGAAGGUUAAUUGAUGGGGUCAGCCGCAAGGCGAAGCUCUUGAUCGAAGCCCCGGUAAACGGCGGCCGUAACUAUAACGGUCCUAAGGUAGCGAAAUUCCUUGUCGGGUAAGUUCCGACCUGCACGAAUGGCGUAAUGAUGGCCAGGCUGUCUCCACCCGAGACUCAGUGAAAUUGAACUCGCUGUGAAGAUGCAGUGUACCCGCGGCAAGACGGAAAGACCCCGUGAACCUUUACUAUAGCUUGACACUGAACAUUGAGCCUUGAUGUGUAGGAUAGGUGGGAGGCUUUGAAGUGUGGACGCCAGUCUGCAUGGAGCCGACCUUGAAAUACCACCCUUUAAUGUUUGAUGUUCUAACGUGGACCCGUGAUCCGGGUUGCGGACAGUGUCUGGUGGGUAGUUUGACUGGGGCGGUCUCCUCCUAAAGAGUAACGGAGGAGCACGAAGGUUGGCUAAUCCUGGUCGGACAUCAGGAGGUUAGUGCAAUGGCAUAAGCCAGCUUGACUGCGAGCGUGACGGCGCGAGCAGGUGCGAAAGCAGGUCAUAGUGAUCCGGUGGUUCUGAAUGGAAGGGCCAUCGCUCAACGGAUAAAAGGUACUCCGGGGAUAACAGGCUGAUACCGCCCAAGAGUUCAUAUCGACGGCGGUGUUUGGCACCUCGAUGUCGGCUCAUCACAUCCUGGGGCUGAAGUAGGUCCCAAGGGUAUGGCUGUUCGCCAUUUAAAGUGGUACGCGAGCUGGGUUUAGAACGUCGUGAGACAGUUCGGUCCCUAUCUGCCGUGGGCGCUGGAGAACUGAGGGGGGCUGCUCCUAGUACGAGAGGACCGGAGUGGACGCAUCACUGGUGUUCGGGUUGUCAUGCCAAUGGCACUGCCCGGUAGCUAAAUGCGGAAGAGAUAAGUGCUGAAAGCAUCUAAGCACGAAACUUGCCCCGAGAUGAGUUCUCCCUGAGACUUUAAGUCUCCUGAAGGAACGUUGAAGACGACGACGUUGAUAGGCCGGGUGUGUAAGCGCAGCGAUGCGUUGAGCUAACCGGUACUAAUGAACCGUGAGGCUUAACCUU